rnacentral:tRNA from 1 species
GGGCCGGUAGCUCAGUUGGGAGAGCGCGUGAAUCGCACUCACGAGGUCAGGGGUUCGACUCCCCUCCGGUCCA